rnacentral:rRNA from 1 species
AACGAACGCUGGCGGCAGGCUUAACACAUGCAAGUCGAACGCAUCCUUCGGGGUGAGUGGCAGACGGGUGAGUAACGCGUGGGAACGUGCCCUUCAGUUCGGAAUAACCCAGGGAAACUUGGGCUAAUACCGGAUACGUGCGAGAGCAGAAAGAUUUAUCGCUGAAGGAUCGGCCCGCGUAUGAUUAGCUAGUUGGUGAGGUAAUGGCUCACCAAGGCGACGAUAAGUAGCUGGUCUGAGAGGAUGAUCAGCCACAUUGGGACUGAGACACGGCCCAAACUCCUACGGGAGGCAGCAGUGGGGAAUAUUGGACAAUGGGCGCAAGCCUGAUCCAGCCAUGCCGCGUGAGUGAUGAAGGCCUUAGGGUUGUAAAGCUCUUUCGUCCGGGACGAUAAUGACGGUACCGGAAGAAGAAGCCCCGGCUAACUUCGUGCCAGCCGCCGCAGGUAACAC